rnacentral:rRNA from 1 species
UACGUAGGGGGCGAGCGUUGUCCGGAUUUAUUGGGCGUAAAGAGCUCGUAGGCGGCUUGGCAAGUCGGGUGUGAAACCUCCAGGCUUAACCUGGAGACGCCACUCGAUACUGCUAUGGCUAGAGUCCGGUAGGGGAGUGUGGAAUUCCCGGUGUAGCGGUGAAAUGCGCAGAUAUCGGGAGGAACACCGAUGGCGAAGGCAGCACUCUGGGCCGGCACUGACGCUGAGGAGCGAAAGCGUGGGGAGCGAACAGG